GAUGAACGCUGACAGAAUGCUUAACACAUGCAAGUCUUUGGCGAAUCUGUGCUUGCACAGGCUAGCCAAGGCGGACGGGUGAGUAACGCGUAAAGAACUUGCCCUGCAGACAGGGAUAACAGACAGAAACGACUGAUAACACCUGAUACAGUUGCCGGCACGCAUGUGCCUGGCAAUGAAAAGAGAUGCUGCAGGAGAGCUUUGCGUCCUAUUAGCUUGUUGGUGAGGUGACGGCUCACCAAGGCGAUGAUAGGUAGCCGGCCUGAGAGGGUGAACGGCCACAAGGGGACUGAGAUACGGCCCUUACUCCUACGGGAGGCAGCAGUGGGGAAUAUUGGACAAUGGGGGCAACCCUGAUCCAGCAAUUCUGUGUGCACGAAGAAGGUUUUCGGAUUGUAAAGUGCUUUCAGCAGGGAAGAAGAAAGUGACGGUACCUGCAGAAGAAGCGACGGCUAAAUACGUG
rnacentral:rRNA from 1 species